rnacentral:lncRNA from 1 species
CUUGUACCGUGGCCAGUGAAAUUCAUCAAUAAUAGUAUUUCAGCCUACCCGCACGCAUGCACGCCGGGAGACAGGUGUGCACUGUUAUCAAGCAGACAUUUUUGGUGUCACAGCCAAGAAAUCAUUACAAACCCAGCCGGCCGACGGUUCACCUCUUUUAAGGAAAGAACGACAGUGUUAUAGGGUGAAUAACUGGCAUCAGAGAAGCAGUCUGGCUGAAAGUCAUCCUACCGUGUCUCCCUUUCCAUUUCAAUCACUCCCUAUCGGAUUCCCUUUCCAGUUCUGCCACUCACUUCUGC